GGGCCGGUAGUUAAACCUGGCUAUAACGCCUCCCUUGCACGGAGGAGGCUCCGGGUUCAAAACUGGCCGGCUAA
rnacentral:tRNA from 1 species